UUGCAAUGUUCCUUUGAAACUCUUUAGGCUCGGCUUACUCGUUCUAGGGUCCGGGCAUUAUCUAUUUCCACACCCGAGUCUCUCAAAAUGAGAAGAACCAGAUCAGGUCGAGUGAUAGUACCUCAAUUGGAUUCAGUAAUAAGUUGGGUUGUCUAUGACAGGGAUGGGUUCAUUUCAGGCGUUGCUCAUACGCAUAAUGGUUUGUUGAGAAGCUCUCGUGCCAAAUUUGCUUGCCGUAUAUAGCUUUCCCUCCUUGUAAGCAUAAUCACGUGUG